rnacentral:sRNA from 1 species
GAUCACGAGGCUUUUAGGUCGGGCCGCCCUAUGCGGGCGGAAAACCGCGCACACUUUUCCUCAUCCCCUCUAGGUCGAUCGAGGGACGGAGACGGCGCCGCGAGUCACCUUCUCCCCGUCAGCGGGGAGAAGGUGGCCGGCAGGCC